AGAGUUUGAUCAUGGCUCAGAACGAACGCUGGCGGCAUGGAUUAGGCAUGCAAGUCGGACGGGAAUCUAAGGAGUGGAAGCUUCGGCCGAAACACCUUGGAGGAGAGUGGCGAAAGGGUGAGUAACACGUGGGUAAUCUACCUUAAGGAUUGGGAUAACCUAUCGAAAGAUGGGCUAAUACCGAAUAAGACCACAGAUGCUCCGGUAUCGGUGGUAAAAGAUGGCCUCUGCUUGCAAGCUAUCACCUCAAGAUGGGCCCGCGGCGUAUUAGCUAGUUGGUAGGGUAACGGCCUACCAAGGCGAAGAUGCGUAGCUGGUCUGAGAGGAUGGUCAGCCACACUGGGACUGAGACACUGCCCAGACACCUACGGGUGGCUGCAGUCGAGAAUCUUUCGCAAUGGGGGAAACCCUGACGAAGCGAUGCCGCGUGAGUGAUGAAGGCUUUCGGGUUGUAAAGCUCUGUCACAAGGGACGAAACUUUCUCUGGAUAAUACCCGGGGAAAUUGACGGUACCUUGAGAGGAAGCCCCGGCUAACUCCGUGCCAGCAGCCGCGGUAAUACGGAGGGGGCGAGCGUUGUUCGGAUUUACUGGGUGUAAAGGGUGCGUAUGCUGCUGAGUAAGUUAGAUGUGAAAUCUUCAGGCUCAACCUGGAAACUGCAUUUAAUACUGCUUGGCUAGAGUAUGGGAGAGGGAGAUGGAAUUUCUCGGUGUAAGAGUGAA
rnacentral:rRNA from 1 species